rnacentral:rRNA from 1 species
GAUGAACGCUGGCGGCGUGCCUAAUACAUGCAAGUCGAGCGAACGGACGAGCAGCUUGCUUUUCUGACGUUAGCGGCGGACGGGUGAGUAACACGUGGAUAACCUACCUAUAAGACUGGGAUAACUUCGGGAAACCGGAGCUAAUACCGGAUAAUAUUUUGAACCGCAUGGUUCAAAAGUGAAAGACGGUCUUGCUGUCACUUAUAGAUGGAUCCGCGCUGCAUUAGCUAGUUGGUAAGGUAACGGCUUACCAAGGCAACGAUGCGUAGCCGACCUGAGAGGGUGAUCGGCCACACUGGAACUGAGACACGGUCCAGACUCCUACGGGAGGCAGCAGUAGGGAAUCUUCCGCAAUGGGCGAAAGCCUGACGGAGCAACGCCGCGUGAGUGAUGAAGGUCUUCGGAUCGUAAAACUCUGUUAUUAGGGAAGAACAUAUGUGUAAGUAACUGUGCACGUCUUGACGGUACCUAAUCAGAAAGCCACGGCUAACUACGUG